rnacentral:rRNA from 1 species
GCGAACGCUGGCGGCAGGCUUAACACAUGCAAGUCGAGCGGGCCCUUCGGGGUCAGCGGCGGACGGGUGAGUAACGCGUGGGAACGUGCCUUCUGGUCUGGAAUAACCCUGGGAAACUAGGGCUAAUACCGGAUACGCCCUUUUGGGGAAAGGUUUACUGCCGGAAGAUCGGCCCGCGUCUGAUUAGCUAGUUGGUGGGGUAACGGCCUACCAAGGCGACGAUCAGUAGCUGGUCUGAGAGGAUGAUCAGCCACACUGGGGCUGAGACACGGCCCAGACUCCUACGGGAGGCAGCAGUGGGGAAUAUUGGACAAUGGGCGCAAGCCUGAUCCAGCCAUGCCGCGUGAGUGAUGAAGGCCUUAGGGUUGUAAAGCUCUUUUAUCCGGGACGAUAAUGACGGUACCGGAGGAAUAAGCCCCGGCUAACUUCGUG